rnacentral:rRNA from 1 species
GUCGAGCGGCAGCACGGGUACUUGUACCUGGUGGCGAGCGGCGGACGGGUGAGUAAUGCCUAGGAAUCUGCCUGGUAGUGGGGGAUAACGCUCGGAAACGGACGCUAAUACCGCAUACGUCCUACGGGAGAAAGCAGGGGACCUUCGGGCCUUGCGCUAUCAGAUGAGCCUAGGUCGGAUUAGCUAGUUGGUGAGGUAAUGGCUCACCAAGGCGACGAUCCGUAACUGGUCUGAGAGGAUGAUCAGUCACACUGGAACUGAGACACGGUCCAGACUCCUACGGGAGGCAGCAGUGGGGAAUAUUGGACAAUGGGCGAAAGCCUGAUCCAGCCAUGCCGCGUGUGUGAAGAAGGUCUUCGGAUUGUAAAGCACUUUAAGUUGGGAGGAAGGGCAGUUACCUAAUACGUAUCUGUUUUGACGUUACCGACAGAAUAAGCACCGGCUAACUCUGUGCCAGCAGCCGCGGUAAUACAGAGGGUGCAAGCGUUAAUCGGAAUUACUGGGCGUAAAGCGCGCGUAGGUGGUUUGUUAAGUUGAAUGUGAAAUCCCCGGGCUCAACCUGGGAACUGCAUCCAAAACUGGCAGGCUAGAGUAUGGUAGAGGGUGGUGGAAUUUCCUGUGUAGCGGUGAAAUGCGUAGAUAUAGGAAGGAACACCAGUGGCGAAGGCGACCACCUGGACUGAUACUGACACU